GGGUAAUUAGGUUGGUCGUGCCACCGGUACGUACUGGUCUCACUGAUUCCUCCUUCCUGAAGAACCGUAAUGCCAUUAAUUUGGUGUUGCGGGGAAACAGGACUGGUACUUUGAAAAAAUUAGAGUGUUUAAAGCAAGCUAACGCUUGAAUACAUUAGCAUGGAAUAAUGAAAUAGGACGAUCGAUCCUAUUUUGUUGGUUUCUAGGAUUGACGUA
rnacentral:rRNA from 1 species